CGUACCUGUAACACAAUCAAGUCGUCCAUUAAUCCAUUGAUCGUAGAAUCUACACUUGUCACGUACGCACAAAUUUGUUGAGAUCACGAUCUAUCUGCCAAGGGACACCGGAUCGAUCGACGACCAAUUAACAUACGUACGAAUAUGAAUCCAUGUUGCAUCUUUACUGUCCCUAAGACGAUUGACGCGCCACGUCGCGGAUGAUUUCUCUAUCAUACCGCGUAAAAGCGUUUACAACGCUCGACUGAAUAAAUAGAGAUGUGAAUACAAAUACCGGAGCAAAGACGUGUAUACUGCUUUGGAAGGAAGCCCCUAAGCUCGUUUGGAAUUCCUAUUGUGCGCUGCAGAAGGCUUGCGAGCAGUCCCGGUUGCGACAUAAGAUAAACCAUUCUAUUGUGGUGACAUAUUGCAACGGAGAGAUUCGCGAAAAGAAAUUAAUUUCGUCCCGUCGUACGAGACUUUACGACGAAUGGCAAUGAUACUUCGAAUGUUUAAUGUGUUAAUUAAUCUGAAGCGACAGAGUCGAGAUAAGUAAAUGAGACUGAGAAUUUGAUGUCUGUAAUUGUUUGGAUCUAAUAAAGAUGAAUAUUUUUGUUGAUAAAAUUGUUAUUUGAGAUUGAAUUGGAUUUACAUUAUUAACUAUUAAUUACACUAUUAAUUAUAAGAGGUAUGUUCAAUAUUUCUAUAUAUAAUCAAAAUAAUGAAAUUUCUAUUAAGGAAAUUAAUGACAUCAUAUCAGGUUUUUAAUUGAGUUGUAAUUAUUUAAUUGAAAUACUUUAACAAAUAAUAAAAUUCAUAAAUAUUUUUCUUUUAAAUUGCAAUAAUAAAAUUGCAAAUCGAUUAUCAAUAUUAUCUUUAAAUUCUUUUAUUGUUAAAUAAAAUCUUUCUUUAUGCAUUUAUUAUAAAGUUUAUAUUUUCAAGAGGCAUCAUUCAUAACGAUUCAAAAUUUGUUAGAAAUUUGUUGAGAUCAAAUUAAUUACAUUAUUACAAAGCUCAAUUUCUGGACUAGCCACUAUUAAUUUACAGAGAAUCAUUAUCAACAUAUUUCAUUAGAGAGGAUCAUCAUAAUCAGAAUCUGUGACUUGACAUAUAUUUACUUCAUUUCUAUUCCUUUCAUAUAAUAUCAUAGAAUUAUAAUUUAAUUUUAGAGACCAAGACAAAUAUUAAAGUUAAAAAGAAAAAAUUUAAAUAUUGAAGGAAAGAUACAAUAAAAUAGUUUUAUGUACACUUAUUUAUAUUAUUUACUAUAUUAUUAAUACUUUGUUUUAUUCAAAAUUAUUACUUUCUAUGCUAUUUCUAUUUCUAAUUCUAAUAAUUUCUAAUAAAAAUGAAGAAAUGUUUCAGAUAUUCAAUAAAUUAUUAAAAUAUUCAUAAAAUAAAUUUUUACAAAUUGAUUUCAACUUUUACAAAUUGAUUAUGAUAACAAUUAAUAACAAAUAUGUUAUAUACAAAUAAAAAUAUAUUAUAUACAAUUAAAAAUUUAAAAAUUCCUAAUUCUUGAUGAGAGAGAGGGGUUUGAUGAUCUUAUUGAAGGUAGAGAAGUCAGUAGAAAGUUGAAGUUCUCAGACUCCAAACUAAUUCAUGGAUUACACGUCCCAGAGUCAGGAAUGUCGUCUGAACUUUCAAUUGAAAUUUAAAGGGAAUCUCACGAUCCCAAAAUCAGUGAAUCUGGUUUACUUUUAUAAAAACAGAAAUGUUGAAAAAUUCUUCAUACAUAGAUUAAUUUAGGAUGAGUUUUUCUGAAGUCAACAAUCUGAAAAUUUUCAAUUCUUUGAAUUAAUUCUAUACAAAUCAUCUUAUAAUAAUUUUACAAUCAAAAGUAUCAUUAAUUUUUUAAUUAAUUCGGAGAAAAUUCAAAGAAAUUAAUCUUGAAUUAGAAGAUAGUUGAAUAGGAAUAGAAUAGAAAUAAUUGAAUUCUAGAUUUUAUUAAAAAUUAAGAAUCGAGGUCUUUGAAUUUCGCAGUCCGAAAAAGAUUCUACAAAUUUAAAAUCUAGAUAUUUUUGACCUGAUUUAGAAUGCAUCUUACGAUACAUGGGAUGAAAAUGAGGUUCUUGAACUCUCAACUAACGUCUCUCUCUCUCUUUCUCUCUUUAACAUCCAAGUGAAGUUUCAUAACUCUCGUAUGAUCUCCAGUGAAUUGAAUACUUUUGGGUAUCAUGAAAGUUUCGUAUGUGAGAUAUUAUGGAUUUUGAAUCAUGAAUUGAAGUAUUGAAGUUGGCGAUCCCAUGACACUUGAAUUUUCUAUGUGAAUAUUAUCUCGAGAUUGAGAUUAUGAAAUUUCCAACUCUAUCCUUGUGCUAUCAUACUGCUCUAUAUGUUGUUAUAUAUUCCUUAUAGAUAAUAAUGAUAUAUAAUAUGAUAAAGCGUAUCAUAUAUUCUCCAAAUAUAAAUUAUUAUACAAAAUUCCAAUAUUAUUCAAAUUUUUCCAUCGGCAUUUCAUCUUAUCACGUAAUACAUUGAAAAUAAUAAAAAUAAAAAUAAAAUAAUCUUCUAAAGAUAGUAUAACCAAAGCUAUCUUAAUUGUUGCGAAAUUCUUCAUUCAAACAAAUGGUUGUAUACCUCGAUAGCCGGCAAUAAAUUCCGUCCGUAUCAGACACAGAAAAAAAAAGAGGAGAAAACUAGUCAACCGAUAGAGCAGAACUAUAGAGACGGCGAAAUUUCAUUGCUGUUACGCGGAACAAAGCGGCAUGGAAAUCAGUGAAGAGAAGAAUAGGCGACCAAGAGAAAGGGAAAACGAACCGACUGAAAAUAACACAAGGGAAUGGAGGAAAUGAAAUGUAAAAAAAAGUGAAACGCGUCUCUCUGCAAGCUCGUUAAGCCAUGGCGUUAACGUAUAGCGUCGUUAGCGACCGGCCUUUACGCCGGAACUUCCUAUUAUUAAAAGCUGUUUAGAGCGGCCGCGUGACUAAUUAAAUGCGCCGCCAGGAUUUUCGUUGGUAAAUAAUUGCCGCUGACGGUGAUCUUUCUUCCUGAUCGUUCGUGAAAGCCAUCUGCGAGCCGGCUACUGGAUCUCCAAAGUUUCCACCACCGUUUUGCCAUUCGUUUCGGAAAAUUAGAUGUACAAAUCCUCUGGUUGUAAUAUCGUGUUCUCGACAGGAGAGAUGGUAAAGUG